AUGAACAGCAGCAUGCGAGCAAAGUGUGCCCGUGUCAAGACGAAGAAGGUGAAUCCAUAUGCGCCAACUGAUGACUGGGUGCGUUCUCAGUCUGGCAUGCAUGAUGACUUCAGCGAUGAUUCUUCCAAGUAUUUUGAGCCUGGCAGCCCUGUUGGUAGAUGUUAUUCUCAUCAGGAGAGUUAUUGGUGGUAUCGCAGCAAUGGUGAAGAGCCCGACUGUUGGUUUUUCAAUGUGGAGCCUUGUGACUCCGAGGACUCUGAUCAUUCUCGCUUCUUUAGUGGUGCCGAGGAGACCGAGUUUGAGUACUGGAGAAUCUGA
rnacentral:rRNA from 1 species